GGGGUCGUAGCUCAGUUGGUAGAGCGCAUGCUCCGCAAGCAUGAGGUCGCGGGUCCGACUCCCGUCGGCUCCA
rnacentral:tRNA from 1 species